GUCUACGGCCAUACCACCCUGAAUGUGCCCAAUCUCAUCUGAUCUCGGAAACAAAUAGGUUUAUAUGAGAGCAUAUAAACCUAUAAAAGUUGAAUCAAUUGGCUAACCACAUUUUUGAAGAGG
ensembl:rRNA 5S_rRNA 5S ribosomal RNA